UAUUACCGGUGGAAAGAAGGUGAAUCUCACGAAAAAUUACGUAUUUCGGUCCACCAUAUUUCACCUCAACCACACCAAGUUGGUGAAUUAAAGAACGCGCCUUUCGUGUUGAUAUUAAAUUUGAAUUACUAAUGGAUGAUUUGGAAGAUGAGAUCUUAAUUGAUGAUGAUCUUGAUGCACUUGACAUCAUUGAAUUUGGAUUUCCUAGACGGUUUCUUCGGAGAGUAAAUUAUUUCGAAGAAAUGGACAAUCUCACUUUUUUUAGAAGAUUUCGUUUAAUGAAAGAAACAGUGUUAUUUUUGUUGCCAUAUCUGGAGAAUGAUUUGGAAUUUGAUAAUGACUUGAAUAAUAGUGUUGCACCAAUAAACCAAUUGCUAGCUACAUUGAGGUUUUAUGCUAGUGCUGGUCACUUGGCUUCUGUUGUCGAUUUCGUCAAUAUAGAUGUAUCGACAGCAUCAAGAAAUGUCAAGAAUCAUUGCAAAAGUUUCAUUAGCAAUUGGGAAAUUAUAUCCUCAAUUUAUCAAAAUGCCCAAAGAUGAGGAAAUAAUGCUAACUCAACAGUCCUUUUACAAGAAGGCUUCAUUUCCUAGGGUGAUAGGAUGUGUGGAUGGUACUCAUGUUCGCAUUCAGUCUCCAGGAGGAGAAGAUGCUGAAGUAUUUCGGAACAGGAAGGGAUACUUCUCUAUAAAUGUUCAAAAGCAACUUGCGAUGCUGACUUGAAAUUUUUGGAUGUUGUUGCACGAUGGCCUGGUUCAGCAAAUGAUUCCACAGUUUUCAAUAAUUCAAGAUUGAAGAGAAGAAUUGAGAAUAAUGAAUUUCGAAAUGGAAUUAUUUUGGGCGAUAGUGGAUAUCCAUUGAGAAAUUACUUCUUAACACCUCUUCUAAAUCCAUGCAGUCCUGAAGAACGUUUAUAUAACGAAGCACACAGUAGAACCCGGAAUACUAUAGAAUGCUGCUUUGGUGUGUGGAAAAGAAGAUUUCCAGUUGUGGCAUAUGGUAUGAGGCUGAAGCUGAAUAAUGUAAUGAAUGUAAUAGUGGCUACUGCAGUUCUACACAACAUAGCAUUAUUGCAAAAUGAAGAACUACCUCCGCCACCUGAUGAUGUUCAAGUUUCAGAAUGGAAUAAUUUGAUCAUGAUGGCAAAUGUACCUGAUUUGCCUCUCAAUAAUCAAAAUGACAAUAUCAAUGCAUAUAGGUUGGAACUAAUUAAUAGUUACUUUUUCAAUUUAAUUUAUAAGCAAUAAGCUAAUGACUUUGUUCGAUUAUUUCAUUACGUGUAAAUUAUACUCUCGUUGUUAUUAAAAAAAA